rnacentral:piRNA from 1 species
UGGAGUUCUGUGUCUCCUGCAGUUGUC